ACACCCAUAGAGCAGUAGUUAGCUCAUUUCUCUCACAUUAUCCAGCAAUGGUAUAAUGGUGCGGAAAAGACCCGGGUGCAAAUCCCGGUGGGUGUA